rnacentral:rRNA from 1 species
GAUGAACGCUGGCGGCGUGCCUAAUACAUGCAAGUCGAGCGAACAGACGAGGAGCUUGCUCCUCUGACGUUAGCGGCGGACGGGUGAGUAACACGUGGAUAACCUACCUAUAAGACUGGGAUAACUUCGGGAAACCGGAGCUAAUACCGGAUAAUAUAUUGAACCGCAUGGUUCAAUAGUGAAAGACGGUUUUGCUGUCACUUAUAGAUGGAUCCGCGCCGCAUUAGCUAGUUGGUAAGGUAACGGCUUACCAAGGCAACGAUGCGUAGCCGACCUGAGAGGGUGGUCGGCCACACUGGAACUGAGACACGGUCCAGACUCCUACGGGAGGCAGCAGUAGGGAAUCUUCCGCAAUGGGCGAAUGCCUGACGGAGCAACGCCGCGGGAGUGAUGAAGGUCUUCGGAUCGUAAAACUCUGUUAUUAGGGAAGAACAAAUGUGUAAGUAACUAUGCACGUCUUGACGGUACCUAAUCAGAAAGCCACGGCUAACUACGUG